AUGAGAACAGAACCAGUACACCGGGCAAGGGCAUAUUUUUCAGUUGGUCCCAACUGUGAGUCAGUGGAUAGCAACUUGUGUGAAUCUUUCAAUCAUGCAAUUGUUGAUGCAAGGUUUUAUCCAUUAAUUUCCAUGCUAGAGAAAAUAAGGAAGAAAAUAUUUGCUAGAAUUCAAGAAUAGAGGACCAAAGGUGUGAAGUUUCAUGAAAAAAUAUGCCCUAGAAUAUUUAAAAAGUUGAAAGCCAGCAUAGCAAGAACACGGUUCAUGGAGGUCCUUUGGAAUGGCAAAGAUAGGUUUGAAGUGAGACUAGUAACUGGGAGAAGAAGGCAAUACACUGCAAGUCUUGAAAAAAGAACUUGUUCAUGUGGUUAUCUCCAACUUUCAGGUCUUCCUUGCUCUCAUGCCAUAACAACAGUAUACUAG
rnacentral:rRNA from 1 species